rnacentral:rRNA from 1 species
UACGGGGGGAGCAAGCGUUGUUCGGAUUUACUGGGCGUAAAGGGCGCGUAGGCGGUCAGCGCAAGUCAGUUGUGAAAUCUCCGGGCUUAACUCGGAUCGGUCAACUGAUACUGCGCGACUAGAGUGCAGAAGGGGCAACUGGAAUUCUCGGUGUAGCGGUGAAAUGCGUAGAUAUCGAGAGGAACACCUGCGGCGAAGGCGGGUUGCUGGGCUGACACUGACGCUGAGGCGCGAAAGCUAGGGGAGCGAACGGG